AAAGAAAGAGGGAGGCAUGCCUAACACAUGCGAGUCGAACGAGACCUUCGGGUCUAGUGGCGCACGGGUGCGUAACGCGUGGGAACCUGCCCUUAGGUUCGGAAUAACUCCCCGAAAGGGGUGCUAAUACCGGAUAAUGUCUUCGGACCAAAGAUUUAUCGCCUUUGGAUGGGCCCGCGUUGGAUUAGCUAGUUGGUAGGGUAAAAGCCUACCAAGGCGACGAUCCAUAGCUGGUCUGAGAGGAUGAUCAGCCACACUGGGACUGAGACACGGCCCAGACUCCUACGGGAGGCAGCAGUGGGGAAUAUUGGACAAUGGGCGAAAGCCUGAUCCAGCAAUGCCGCGUGAGUGAUGAAGGCCUUAGGGUUGUAAAGCUCUUUUACCCGGGAUGAUAAUGACAGUACCGGGAGAAUAAGCUCCGGCUAACUCCGUG
rnacentral:rRNA from 1 species